rnacentral:SRP_RNA from 1 species
GCUGGGUGUGGUGGCGCACACCUGUAAUCCCAGCUACUGGGAGGCUGAGGCAGGAGAAUUGCUUGAACCCGGGAGGCAGAGGUUGCAGUGAGCCGAGAUCGUGCCACUGAACUCCAGCCUGGGAAACAGAGCAAGACUCCCACCUCA